rnacentral:misc_RNA from 1 species
GCACCGUUUCUUUUAUUUCACUGGCAAAAGUCGAAGCGUGUUCUGUCUCCAAAUGUCGGCGGUAUCCCCGCAGCCCCUCACUCGCUCCCUCGUCUUGCCGUGUCAACCCGGCCAAUCCGUCGAGAUCGUUGCUGCCACUGGCGUCUCCGAUUCCGAUUCAGGAAUGCUAUUGAUUCCUCCCUGCUUAAGCUGUGGCUAAAGAAUUUGCAAUCUGAAACUGGGAUUUUAGCUAAUGGCUGUUUUUCAUUAAAACGAGUACUUGUUCAGGGGGAGUGGAUAUGUUCGGACAGGUAUUGGCUUUUUAGAAUUCAAGGCAGAUAUUUUUGAUCUGGAAACAGGGAAAAAGNCUCAUUUGAUUUAUGGAUUAUGCUUAGUUACACCGUCACGUCUUGAAGUGCUAUUUCCUGGGACUGAAAUGAACUCUCGUUGAGCUCUUGUUGAGUAACAUGACUAGAAUUCCUUGAUAUGCACGGGGGAUACAUGAACAACAUUUCCAAUUUCUCUGUUUCCAGUUUAAUCUCGUUGAAUGUAGGCAGGA